rnacentral:rRNA from 1 species
CCGCGGGAACACCGGCGGCCCGAGUGGUGAUCGUGAUUAUUGGGUCUAAAGGGUCCGUAGCCGGUUUGGUCAGUCCUCCGGGAAAUCUGAUAGCUCAACUAUUAGGCUUUCGGGGGAUACUGCCAGACUUGGAACCGGGAGAGGUAAGAGGUACUACAGGGGUAGGAGUGAAAUCUUGUAAUCCCUGUGGGACCACCUGUGGCGAAGGCGUCUUACCAGAACGGGUUCGACGGUGAGGGACGAAAGCUGGGGGCACGAACCGGAUUAGAUACCCGGGUAGUCCCAGCCGUAAACGAUGCUCGCUAGGUGUCAGGCAUGGCGCGACCGUGUCUGGUGCCGCAGGGAAGCCGUGAAGCGAGCCACCUGGGAAGUACGGCCGCAAGGCUGAAACUUAAAGGAAUUGGCGGGGGAGCACAACAACGGGUGGAAGCCUGCGGUUUAAUUGGACUUAACGCCGGACAACUCACCGGGGGCGACAGCAAUAUGUAGGCCAAGCUGAAGACUUUGCCUGAAUCGCUGAGAGGUGGUGCAUGG